AGUCAGGGAACAUCUGUCCCUUCUUCGUGAAUAUCUGUGUUCAAGUCUCUUGCUCAUUUGUUAAAUUGGGCUUUUCAUCUUAAUUUUGGUUUGCAGUUUUCUCCCCUAUAUCCGAGGUCUGAGUCCUUUGUCAGGACACACAGUGUGAUUUCUUGCCUGGCAUUCCGUUCCUUGCUUGUCCAUUUUCAAGAGCAGAACAUUUUCACGUUGAUGGAAGCCCGAUGUCUUUCUUCUACGACACAGGUGGUGGCCAGACCUGGCACACGGAUGCAGCUGACCCUGGAAGCUGAAGGGCAGUGAAACCCAUCUGAUUAAGAUGCUCAACUUUUCUGAAGAAAAAGCUGACACCAAGACCUGCCUAAGGUCACACCAUCAUGAGUGGCUGAGUUGGGCUGUGAUGAGCCACCCGGCUGGAGAGCUUGUGCCCUGGUUACACGAUUGCCAGUGAGAUGCCUAUGGACUCGCAUGUAGAGAGUGAGUGCAGCAGUGACAGCUUGGUGGGCUCCAGCUGACCCCUCCAGAGCCCCUGAGUGGUGGCGGUCUGCAGUCCUCAGUCAGCAGCAGCAGACGUCACCCGUCAUACAGGGCCAUUCACUGAAGUGUCACCUGGUGCGCUUGGUUGGCCAGUCCUAAGGAGCAACAGACAGGCAUCGGAGGCACUUGCAGCAGAAAUAUGAAAAACAAAACCUACUUAGCUGAGCUCCCCAAGGGCAGGGACAACUUAUUUUAACAUUGUUUUGAACUUAGUAAGUUUUUAAUAAAAUGAUAUGUAAAUGAAUGGAGCAAAAGCUCUAGA
rnacentral:lncRNA from 1 species